rnacentral:rRNA from 1 species
CCUACGGGUGGCAGCAGUGAGGAAUAUUGGUCAAUGGUCGGGAGACUGAACCAGCCAAGCCGCGUGAGGGAGGAAGGUACAGAGUAUCGUAAACCUCUUUUGUCAGGGAACAAAGACUGGGCCGCGUCCCCGGAUGAGUGUAACUGAAGAAAAAGCAUCGGCUAACUCCGUGCCAGCAGACGCGUAAAUACGGCGGGUGCGAGCGUUAUCGGGAUUUAUUGGGUGAAAAGGGUGCGCAGGCGGUGUGUAAGGUCAGCGGCAAAAGCCCGGGGCUAAAGCCCGGCCCGCCGUUGAAACUGGGAGUCUCGAGUUGGAGAGAAGGAUGCGGAAUGCGCGGUGUAGCGGUGAAAUGCAUAGAUAUCGCGCAGAACUCCGAUUGCGAAGGCAGCAUGCCGGCUCCACACUGACGCUGAGGCACGAAAGCGUGGGUAUCGAACAGGAUUAGAUACCCUGGUAGUC